UAAUACGUAGGGGGCAAGCGUUGUCCGGAUUCAUUGGGCGUAAAGAGCGUGUAGGCGGCUAGGUAGGUCGGUUGUGAAAACUGGAGGCUCAACCUUCAGAGGUCGACCGAAACCAUCUGGCUAGAGUCCGGGAGAGGAGAGUGGAAUUCCUGGUGUAGCGGUGAAAUGCGCAGAUAUCAGGAAGAACACCCGUGGCGAAAGCGGCUCUCUGGAACGGUACUGACGCUGAGACGCGAAAGCGUGGGGAGCGAACAGGAUUAGAUACCCUGGUAGUCCACGCCGUAAACGAUGGGCACUAGGUGUGGGAGGUGUCGACUCCUCCCGUGCCGAAGCUAACGCAUUAAGUGCCCCGCCUGGGGAGUACGGCCGCAAGGCU
rnacentral:rRNA from 1 species